GGGCCCGUAGCUCAGCUUGGAUAGAGUACCGGCCUUCUAAGCCGGGGGUCCGGGGUUCAAAUCCCCGCGGGCCCG
rnacentral:tRNA from 1 species